rnacentral:lncRNA from 10 species
UUUGUCAAAGAUGUUCCCAAUAACCAAUUACGGCAUAUUCGCUUAGAAAAUAAUGACAACAAACCGGUUACCAAUUCAAGGGACACUCAAGAGGUACCCCUAGAAAAAGCUAAGCAAGUGCUUAAAAUAAUUGCUACUUUCAAGCAUACCACCUCAAUCUUUGAUGACUUUGCACAUUAUGAAAAGCGUCAAGAAGAGGAGGAAGCCAUGCGUAGGAUGGAGUCGCUCUCUGUCGCCCAGGCUGGAGUGCAAUGGAGUGGUCUUGGCUCACUGCAACGUCCGCCUCCCGGAUUCAAGUGAUUCUCUUGCCUCAGCCUCCCGAGUAGCUGGGAUUACAGGCACACGCCACCAUGCCUGCCAAAUUUUUGUAUUUUUAAUAGAGACGAGUUUCACCAUGUUGGCCAGGCUGGUCUUGAACUGCUGACCUCGUGAUCCGUGCGCCUCGGCCUCCCAAAGUGCUGGGAUUACAGGCAUGAGCCACUGUGCCUGGCAAAAUAUGUUUUUAAAACAUAAAACUCUUGAAG